AUACGGAGGGUGCAAGCGUUAAUCGGAAUCACUGGGCGUAAAGCGCGCGUAGGCCGCCUUCUAAGUCGGACGUGAAAGCCCACGGCUCAACCGUGGAAUUGCACUUGAUACUGCAUUGCUUGAGUUCGGGAGAGGGUAGUGGAAUUCCAGGUGUAGGAGUGAAAUCCGUAGAGAUCUGGAGGAACACCAGUGGCGAAGGCGACUACCUGGACCGAUACUGACACUGAGGAGCGAAAGCGUGGGGAGC
rnacentral:rRNA from 1 species